rnacentral:rRNA from 1 species
CCUACGGGAGGCUGCAGUGGGGAAUAUUGCACAAUGGGGGAAACCCUGAUGCAGCGACGCCGCGUGAGUGAAGAAGUAUUUCGGUACGUAAAGCUCUAUCAGCAGGGAAGAAAAAAAGUCCUUUGGACUUUGGACGGUACCUGACUAAGAAGCCCCGGCUAACUACGUGCCAGCAGCCGCGGUAAUACGUAGGGGGCAAGCGUUAUCCGGAAUUAUUGGGCGUAAAGAGUACGUAGGUGGUUUUGUAAGCGCGGGGUGAAAGGCAGUGGCUUAACCAUUGUAAGCCUUGCGAACUGCAAGACUUGAGUGCAGGAGAGGAAAGCGGAAUUCCUAGUGUAGCGGUGAAAUGCUUAGAUAUUAGGAGGAACACCAGUGGCGAAGGCGGCUUUCUGGACUGUAACUGACACUGAGGUACGAAAGCGUGGGGAGCAAACAGGAUUAGAUACCCCUGUAGUC